rnacentral:rRNA from 1 species
AGCAGCCGCGGUAAUUCCAGCUCCAAUAGCGUAUAUUAAAGUUGUUGCAGUUAAAAAGCUCGUAGUUGAAUUUCGGGAUUGGCGCAUCGGUCGUGCCUCACGGGGUAUGAACUGGUGCAGUCAAUUUCUCACCUUCUGGAGAACCGCGAUGUCCUUAAUUGGGUGCCGCGGGGAACCAGGACCUUUACUUUGAAAAAUUAGAGUGUUUAAAGCAGGCAUUUUUGCUUGAAUACAUUAGCAUGGAAUAAUAAAAUAGGACGGCAUGGUUCUAUUUUGUUGGUUUCUAGGACCACCGUAAUGAUUAAUAGGGAUAGUUGGGGGCAUUAGUAUUCAAUUGUCAGAGGUGAAAUUCUUGGAUUUAUUGAAGACUAACUACUGCGAAAGCAUUUGCCAAGGAUGUUUUCAUUAAUCAAGAACGAAAGUUAGGGGAUCGAAGACGAUCAGAUACCGUCGUAGUCUUAACCAUAAACUAUGACCGACUAGGAAUCAGACGAUGUUAAUUUUUAAUGUACUUCGUUUG